CCUACGGGUGGCAGCAGUCGAGAAUUAUUCACAAUGGGGGCAACCCUGAUGGUGCGACGCCGCGUGGGGGAAUGAAGGUCUUCGGAUUGUAAACCCCUGUCAUGUGGGAGCAAAUUCAAAAGAUAGUACCACAAGUGGAAGAGACGGCUAACUAUGUGCCAGCAGCCGCGGUAAUACAGAGGUCUCAAGCGUUGUUCGGAAUCACUGGGCGUAAGGCGUGCGUAGGCUGUUUCGUAAGUCGUGUGUGAAAGGCGCGGGCUCAACCCGCGGACGGCACAUGAUACUGCGAGACUAGAGUAAUGGAGGGGGAACCGGAAUGCUCGGUGUAGCAGUGAAAUGCGUAGAUAUCGAGAGGAACACUCGUGGCGAAGGCGGGUUCCUGGACAUUAACUGACGCUGAGGCACGAAGGCCAGGGGAGCGAAAGGGAUUAGAUACCCUAGUAGUC
rnacentral:rRNA from 1 species